rnacentral:rRNA from 1 species
GACGUAGGGCGCGAGCGUUGUCCGGAUUUAUUGGGCGUAAAGAGCUCGUAGGCGGCUUGUCGCGUCGACUGUGAAAACCCGCGGCUCAACUGCGGGCCUGCAGUCGAUACGGGCAGGCUAGAGUUCGGUAGGGGAGACUGGAAUUCCUGGUGUAGCGGUGAAAUGCGCAGAUAUCAGGAGGAACACCGGGGGCGAAGGCGGCUCACCGGCUCGACACUGACGCUGAGGUGCGAAAGCGGGGGGAGCAAACAGG